ACGAACGCUGGCGGCAUGCCUAACACAUGCAAGUCGAACGAGACCUUCGGGUCUAGUGGCGCACGGGUGCGUAACGCGUGGGAACCUGCCCUUAGGUUCGGAAUAACUCCCCGAAAGGGGUGCUAAUACCGGAUAAUGUCUUCGGACCAAAGAUUUAUCGCCUUUGGAUGGGCCCGCGUUGGAUUAGCUAGUUGGUAGGGUAAAAGCCUACCAAGGCGACGAUCCAUAGCUGGUCUGAGAGGAUGAUCAGCCACACUGGGACUGAGACACGGCCCAGACUCCUACGGGAGGCAGCAGUGGGGAAUAUUGGACAAUGGCGAAAGCCUGAUCCAGCAAUGCCGCGUGAGUGAUGAAGGCCUUAGGGUUGUAAAGCUCUUUUACCCGGGAUGAUAAUGACAGUACCGGGAGAAUAAGCUCCGGCUAACUCCGUG
rnacentral:rRNA from 1 species